GCGCCCGUAGCUCAGUUGGAUAGAGCAACGGCCUUCUAAGCCGUGGGUCGCAGGUUCGAGUCCUGCCGGGCGCGCCA
rnacentral:tRNA from 2 species